UUUUCUGUUCUUGUGUCAGUUUGCCGAGAAUGCUCUAAACCAUUAUAUUUUAUUGUAUUGUAAUGAUUAUUUUUCAACCUCUCAAAUCUUGUAUUUCUCCUCAAAGUGUUCUCUUUACUCCAUAAAAUUAUCUUUAAAAUUUUUAUUUUAUUUUUCACUGACAAGUAACAGUUGUAAAUAUUUAUUGGAUACAAUGUGAUGUUUCAAUACAUGUAUAUAUUGUGGAAUGAUAAGAUCUGGCUAAUCAACAUUUCCAGCACCUCACAUGCUUAUAAUUUCUUUAUGGUGAGAACAUUUAAAAUCUAAGAUAAUAUAAAAAAGGUUUGUAACAUAUUAAUUAUUUAUUCUUCCUUCUUGUAUUCAGACAGAGUCAUAUUCAGGAUGAAAACCACACAGCUAAAUCAUACAAACAGCAUGUCCUUCUUGGUUCCAGAUACAAAAAACUGAAUACUGAGGUUGUGAACAAAGGGUGCUAAAAAGCUUACAAUUGCUUCAAAUUUAAAUACUUGAUUUUUCCAAUUCAGAGGUGGCUUAAUUUUAUUUUGUAAAAAAUAUGACUUUUUG